rnacentral:rRNA from 1 species
AAGCCGCGAGGUGGAGCUAAUCCCAUAAAACCGAUCGUAGUCCGGAUCGCAGUCUGCAACUCGACUGCGUGAAGUCGGAAUCGCUAGUAAUCGUGAAUCAGAAUGUCACGGUGAAUACGUUCCCGGGCCUU